GGGUACAGUGCUUUCCUAUCAAUAACAUCGGGAAUCUUUGUGUCGUUGUGGACUGGCUCUUGCGAUUGGCUAUAGGAUAAUUGCAAAUAUCGGACACAAUAUAAGUUGGUAACAUGGGUAGUCGUGUGUAGAAUGUCCGGUGAUGCGCAAUUAUAUUGAAGUAGUUAGUCGAAUAGUAUUAUAUGCCAGGAAUAGAGCAUUAAAAUAAUAAAGUACCUUUAAAUGUACAUAUCAUUGAUAGGAAAGGAUAUCUUGAUUCCUAAGUUUAUGAUCGCUCAGUGAAUAAAAGUUAUUGGAGAAAAAAGAUAUAGAGAGAAAACGCUACAAGAAUCACUUACGUUGUAGAUUUGAGAGAACUGUUUUAGCAAUGCACGUAAUGAGAUGUAUAGAAAUACGUGUCGUUCGUAUAGUAACACAUAUCUUUCCAAACGAUCAGUUCGAGCAAUUGAAUUACUCGGAAUCAUGUGCAUGAGAUUUCUUCUUUAAUUAGUUUUAUUUUCAUCAUUUUUAAUUGUAUAUGUUGUGGCACUAAUGAUGCUUACUUAAAAUCUUCAACAUAGUGGUAGGAAAAGGUGUAAUCGUCACGAUGACCCAUGCCUGAUAAGUUUCACCAAAGCACGAUGAUCUCAAUGUGGAAAAAGAUACGAUCGUAAUAUUCGCUAUUGUAGAUGUCAACGGUAUGUCUCAUAAAAAGUCGCAAAGACUGUCUUUUAUAUGAUUCAUUCAUUUUGUACUAUGUAUGUAUACCAAAUACAUAGUUUUGAUUCUUAACUGAUUAUAUUGUACAUUCAAUAAAUCUCUAUAUUCACUCGUAAAA